UUUUUAUGGGUUUCAUGUUUACUUCAGACUUCAGUUAGAAUAAAUUCGUGUUCUUUUUCUUUGCCUCUACAGAACCCAUGUCGAUUAAGUUUUCUAAAUCGCUCUUCCAUCUUCUUCCUCAGAGUAGGAAAUGUUAGGAGUUACCGAAUUAUCAUCUUAAACUCUCCAUUACUUUCUCACACACGAUCUAUAUUCAAUGUGAUUUAUGGAUCAGGCGGUGGAGAUUCAUCUAUAAAAAGAUCCAAAAAUCAAGGUCCGAAAAUGGGCAAAUACAUGAAAAAAUCAAGAUUACCAACAUCGAUACGGAGCCGACCAAGCCAACUUCCCUGGGAGUUUGCACUAGGGCCGCUAAUACCCUAGCUCUGAAGCGGCUCAAUUCCUCCGCCUCUGAUUCCACUCUAGCUGGAGACUCUUCUUGCUACCUUCAGCUCCGCAGCCGCAGGCUCAAGAAACCCCCGGCGCUGACGGAGCCGAAACAGCCGCUGAUGAGAAUUAAGGAGCCUGGCUCGAAGGUUCGGGUUCGGUUCAUGUAGCUCAGAGCUGUAAUGGAGAUUAUUGGUUUGGAAAGUCUGAAGCUUUUUGUGGAGAGGACAGUCCUGCUUUUGAAUCGAGACAAAGUAGCUUUUAAUAUGUAAGAUCAUAUGAAGACUUUCUUCGUAAGUGUAGUGCAAGUACUGUGGUGUGGCAUCACGUUCAUGGGACCUAGCUAAGCUGUUGAGAAGAACUGCGACCUACCUGAUGGGCAAGUGAUGCCAAUUGUUUCUGAGCGGUUCCGUUGUCCUGAGGACCAAGACAUCAGAAAGGAUGCGUACGGUAUAACAUCGUGAUCUGUGGUGGAAGCACAUUUUCUCUGAGAUCGCUAACAAUUUGAGCUAAGAUAUCACAAACCUUUGUCUUCCAACGUGUACCAAGGUUUUUUUUUUUUGUUCUUAUGUAUUUUGAAAUUCUGGCCAAAGACAUUUUCAAAGAUUUAUUGUUCUUAUUUAGUUCAGCUGCCGUGUGAGUGAAUAAUAACACAUCUUUCUCUCUUUAAUUAUUAUGUAGCAUUGUGUUUCAAGUU